UAAUCACUAAAUCAUUAUUUAAAUACCUUAUUUCUGCCCAUUCUUGCAUGACAUGUUUUUAGGUGUUGCUAUGUUUUUUUGUGUUGUAAAUGUUUUACUGUAUGUAAUUUGCAUAAAUAAGCAUACAAAUAUAAAUACAGCAUCCUUCUUUAAAAAAUUACCGUAUUUAGUGUACCGUACAUACCACUCCAAUCUCGGAGAUUCUGAAUGGGAUGAUGUGCAUAUGUACGUGCAGUAUUUUCACUGUUUUAAAUUGUAUGCAGUGUAUAAUGUACUGUGUGUAAUAUUUGACACUGAAUCAAGCAUAGCUACUGUUUUUGUCACGAACAUGAUGCCAAUCGCUGGACAGGUUAUAUAGCCUUUGGGGCGGUUUUGCCGUUUUUGCCGGAUCGGUCCGGGACCAUCGGAUAAUGUUGGAAGCUGCCGGAUAAUCGAUGAUCAACUCUAUGCCCCCCCCCCCACUGUGGAAGACACAAACAUGAGCCACUCGUACAGUUGAUGUUCCUACUUAACUAUUCAAAUGACUAAUAGAUUUUACUAUGUUAAUUCAUUAUUUAAAAAAAAACUUCACUCUUUUUAGGAACCGCAUGCAACAUCUGGAUGAGAGAAUAACGAAUUCUUCUGGAACGAGCCUACCGAACCAAGAGGCCAGUAGGCACUACGAGCCUCUGAAGCCGCCUGCGGAGAACGCCUAUGACAAAUUAAGCCACCCCACGUACACGAAUGUCUAAAACAGAGUACCUCGGGAACCACAUGCGUGCACUUAACGACUCCACGCAGCACUCGCAUGGAAUUCAAACUCAAGAGCACGGGGUUCAGUCGGAGGUUUCAUUUAUUCGGUGUUGUAUAUAUAUGCUUUUUUCCAAAAAUGAAUACUAAGUGUGAUAUUGCCUAUUUUUAAUGUAAUAGCGCCUCGUAGACAUAAACGUGGAUUCAGUGUGUUCUGAGCUUAAACAAAAAAAAAAUCGGAGCUUAAACGAAUUAGCAUUCGAAUGACAAGUUGACAAACAAAAAAUAUCUUUCAACAAACGGGACCACAAAAGUUAAUCAACAAAGAGAAUUUUGUUGUUUUAUAUUUAUAUUAUUUCAUUGUUUCCCUUCUACGUGGUGACUUUACCGAAAGAACCAAGAAUAUGAAUCCCCGCAGUCACGAAAGCUUUAAAUCAGGACGUACUGUGUUAUAACAACCUAGGCCCAGAAUGUUUUAAUAUGACUAAUUUACAUGGUCUUAUUAACAAUUACUGUUAUGACAUGCGGUCUUAAGACGGGUAGAGCACGUGCAACUUAAUGAAAGUGAAAUUAUGGAAGCUCGGUUUGAAGGGAUGAACCUAAUGAUCAUUCAGGACAACAAUUGGUAUUUUUAGAUAUAUGAAAAUUGUCAAAUCUACACGACCAACAUAAUCUAUGCAAGGGGUAUCACCAAAGCCAUGCCUGACCGCCUUUGUCUCUCCAGUGGCUAUCAUUGCAUGCUGCAGCAGGUAUUCAUAUUUAGGAUGAGUCAAUCUAAGUGGGGAAUCAUAACUUGAGCAGAUAACCGCAACUUUAUUGAUUGAGGAGGAAUCGAACUCGGUGAACCAGCCUCAAUAGUUUCAUAGUUUCAUUUAUUUGGUAUAGCCCUGUGAGCCAUUUGACUCUUGAAUCGGGUGCAACCGCAACAAACAAAAAAACAAAAACA